rnacentral:sRNA from 1 species
GAGAAAUUGAGAGGGCUCGGGAGAAAGGGAUCAUGUUGGAGGGAGCACACAUUGGGAGGGUGGGAACACAAGGACAACGUGGCUCCCACUGAAACCCACCUGCUGCCCCUACAGCCUCCUAGGGCUCUUUGCCCUCAUCCUAUCUGGCAAAUGCAGUUACAGCCCGGAGCCUGACCAGCGGAGGACGCUGCCCCCAGGCUGGGUGUCCCUGGGCCGUGCGGACCCUGAGGAAGAGCUGAGUCUCACCUUUGCCCUGAGACAGCAGAAUGUGGAAAGACUCUCGGAGCUGGUGCAGGCUGUGUCGGAUCCCAGCUCUCCUCAAUACGGUGCCUUUUGGGACUGAGGACAGGAUGUGGGAUGCAGUGGAGGGACACAGGAAUGGGUUGGGCAUGGGAUGGUGAUCAUGUCAGGGCCUGCCAAGACACUUGUGUUCCUCAGGCUAGAAACCUAAAAGGGGAUGUGGUUCAAUAUACAGGCUUUAUGUUCAAAUAUGAACUCAAAUUCUGACUCUGCUACUUACUAGCUACCAGGCAUCUAGUACAACUUACGUUUCUUC